AAACAAACAAACAAACAAACAAACAAACAAACAAACAAACAAACAAACAAACAAACAAACAACAAACAAACAACAAACAAACAACAAACAAACAACAAACAAACAACAAACAAACAAACAACAAACAAACAACAAACAAACAACAAACAAACAACAAACAAACAACAAACAAACAACAAACAAACAACAAACAAACAACAAACAAACAACAAACAAACAACAAACAAACAACAAACAAACAACAAACAAAC
rnacentral:lncRNA from 1 species